rnacentral:rRNA from 1 species
AUAUCUGGCCAUGAAAGUCUUCAACAACACACUAGAUCCCAUCUGAUCUUGUAAGGUAAACAGUGUCAGCCAUGGUUAGUACUUGGAUAAGAGAUCCCCAAUGAACACUAGGUGCUGUAGCUU